rnacentral:rRNA from 1 species
GACGAACGCUGGCGGCGUGCCUAAUACAUGCAAGUAGGACGCAGUUGCGAACGGGUGAGUAACGCGUAGGUAACUACCUAUUAGAGGGGGAUAACUAUUGGAAAAGAUAGCUAAUACCGCAUACUAGUAGAUGGACCUGCGUUGUAUUAGGUAGUAGGUAGGGUAAUGGCCUACCUAGGAAACGAUACAUAGCCGACCUGGGGUGGUGUACGGCCACACUGGGACUGAGGCACGGCCCAGACGCCUACGGGAGGCAACAGUGGGGGAUCUUCGGCAAUGGGGGGAACCCUGGCCGAGCAACGCCGCGGGAGAGAAGGAGGUUUUCGGGUCGUAAAGCUCUGUUGUUAAGGGAGCGGUACUUAACCAGAAAGGGACGGCUAACUACGUGCCAGCAGCCGCGGUAAUUC